UGGUGGAGUGAUUUGUCUGGUUAAUUCCGAUAACGAACGAGAUCUCAGCAUGCUAAAUAGUCCGCAGUGCGUCCGCGAGGCGCGCCGACUUCUUAGAUGGGACAGCUGACUUCCAAGUCAGAGGAGGUUUGAGGCAAUAACA
rnacentral:rRNA from 1 species